rnacentral:rRNA from 1 species
GACAGAGGGUGCAAACGUUGCUCGGAAUCACUGGGCGUAAAGCGCGUGUGGGCGGUCCGGUAAGUCCGCUGUGAAAGUCGGGGGCUCAACCCUCGAAUGCCGGUGGAUACUGUCGGGCUAGAGUACGGAAGAGGCGAGUGGAAUUCCUGGUGUAGCGGUGAAAUGCACAGAUAUCAGGAGGAACACCAAUUGCGAAGGCAGCUCGCUGGGACGUUACUGACGCUGAGACGCGAAAGCGUGGGGAGCAAACAGG